CCGGCGACCGGCGCACGGGUGAGUAACACGUAUGCAACCUGGCCGUGACAGAUGGAUAACCGGGAGAAAUCCCGCCUAAUACAGCAUGACGCCGGGAAGGGACAUCCCUUUCCGGCCAAAGGGGGCGACUCCGGUCACGGAUGGGCAUGCGGCGCAUUAGGUAGUUGGUGGGGCAACGGCCCACCAAGCCGACGAUGCGUAGGGGUUCUGAGAGGAAGGUCCCCCACAUUGGAACCGAGACACGGUCCAAACUCCUACGGGAGGCAGCAG
rnacentral:rRNA from 1 species